AUAUGUCUACAAGUGUUACGUUUCAGAAGUACAAAAAAUGUGUACAUCCAGCAAACAUUAUUAAAUAUCCUUCCAAGAUUUGCUGCUUUUGAUACCAAAAAGUUUGUUAAAAGUUAUUUAAGUGAAACUAUGUCAUACCUUCUUAGCUGCCUGAGGCGUGAAAGAGAACGUUAUAAUGCUUUUAACGCAGUUGGUUUAUUAGCUGUAGCUGUAAAACUGGAAAUUAAACCUUAUAUUCCAAAAAUUAUGGAAGUUAUUCGUUCUUCCCUUCCUUCAAAAGAUAUGACAAUUAGG